AUAUGAUUCGACCUGAAUAAGGACACUUACAUAUAACUAAAAAGAUUAGGUUUAGGAGUUUCUCCACAUUAUUUAUCAUAUUUCUAGUAGGAUAGGUAUCUCUUUGGACCCUAUAUAAAGGGUUGUUGACAUCAAGUACAAAAUAUCUUAUGUAACUAGAUACUUUCAAUAAUCUCAAUUUUUUUACUAAUUUGGCCAUCAAAG
rnacentral:lncRNA from 1 species